rnacentral:rRNA from 1 species
AACGCUGGGCGGCAUGCUUUACACAUGCAAGUCGAACGGUAACGAGCCGUUCGGGUGCUGACGAGGUGGACGGAACGGGUGAGUAAUGCAUCGGAACGUCGCCCAAUCGGUGGGGGAUAACGUAGCGAAAGUUACGCUAAUACCGCAUAAGCCCUGGAGGGGAAAGUGGGGGACCGCAAGGCCUCACGCGAAUGGAGCGGCCGAUGUCAGAUUAGCUAGUUGGUGGGGUAAAGGCCCACCAAGGCGACGAUCCGUAGCUGGUCUGAGAGGAUGAUCAGCCACACUGGAACUGAGACACGGUCCAGACUCCUACGGGAGGCAGCAGGUGGGAAUAUUGGACAAUGGGGCAACCCUGAUCCAGCCAUGCCGCGUGUGUGAAGAAGGCCUUCGGGUUGUAAAGCACUUUUGUUGGGGAAGAAACCGGCCGGGUUAAUACCCUGGUUGAAUGACGGUACCCAAAGAAUAAGCACCGGCUAACUUCGUG